rnacentral:rRNA from 1 species
UACGAAGGGUGCAAGCGUUACUCGGAAUUACUGGGCGUAAAGCGUGCGUAGGUGGUUUGUUAAGUCUGAUGUGAAAGCCCUGGGCUCAACCUGGGAAUUGCAUUGGAUACUGGCAGGCUAGAGUGCGGUAGAGGAUGGCGGAAUUCCCGGUGUAGCAGUGAAAUGCGUAGAGAUCGGGAGGAACAUCUGUGGCGAAGGCGGCCAUCUGGAACAUUUCUGACGCUGAGGCUCGAAAGCGUGGGGAGCAAACAGGG